rnacentral:rRNA from 1 species
ACGCUCGACACCUACGGGAGGGCAGCAGUGGGGAAUAUUGCACAAUGGGGGAAACCCUGAUGCAGCGACGCCGCGUGGAGGAAGAAGGUCUUCGGAUUGUAAACUCCUGUUGUUGGGGAAAAAGAGGAUGGUACCCAACAAGGAAGUGACGGCUAACUACGUGCCAGCAGCCGCGGUAAUCUGAGGCGGGCUGGCAAGGC